rnacentral:lncRNA from 1 species
AUGUUCCAGUUUGCUCAAUACUUUGGACAAAUGAAACGACUGGAUGUGGUGACUGCGAAGCCUCUUCCUGCCAAGGAAGUCUGUGAGCUAAUGUGCCCAGCCGAGAAUAUUCCCAAGGAGUCUGGUCCCCGCAUGCCUCCUUGUGGGAUACUUUGGACAUCAGCUCUUCUCACUGAUCACGCGGGUCCUUGUGGCAGAGCAUGCUUGAGGCUGAUUGAGAUCACUGGACAUUCUGUCAUUCUCUUGGUUCUGCGUGGGCUGCAGUUAAAAAAAUCUCAGCAAUAAAUCUGCUUGCCGUGUCCCUUCUUCACUCACACUGGCAGGAGAUAAGGCCGAAUCGCUGCACUGGCCGAUGCCAGCCUGUCCAGGAAGCAUCCCGCCUUCGUGCUUUCACUUUGCAGAUGGCUCAAGGUUACCAAGUCAGAGAAACAACCCAAGAACACCAGCAGCAAUCAUCGGGUGAAGUAAUCAUAAAUAAAAAUAGCGUCACGCCGUCCCCA